rnacentral:rRNA from 1 species
GACGAACGCUGGCGGCGUGCCUAACACAUGCAAGUCGAGCGAGUGAAUCUCCUUCGGGAGUGAAGCUAGCGGCGGACGGGUGAGUAACACGUGGGCAACCUGCCUCAUAGAGGGGAAUAGCCUUCCGAAAGGGAGAUUAAUACCACAUAAGAUUGUAGCUUCGCAUGAAGUAGCAAUUAAAGGAGCAAUCCGCUAUGAGAUGGGCCCGCGGCGCAUUAGCUAGUUGGUGAGGUAAUGGCUCACCAAGGCGACGAUGCGUAGCCGACCUGAGAGGGUGAUCGGCCACAUUGGGACUGAGACACGGCCCAGACUCCUACGGGAGGCAGCAGUGGGGAAUAUUGCACAAUGGGGGAAACCCUGAUGCAGCAACGCCGCGUGAGUGAUGACGGCCUUCGGGUUGUAAAGCUCUGUCUUCAGGGACGAUAAUGACGGUACCUGAGGAGGAAGCCACGGCUAACUACGUGCCAGCCGCCGCAGUAAAAC